GACGUAGGGUCCAAGCGUUGUCCGGAAUUAUUGGGCGUAAAGAGCUCGUAGGCGGUUUGUUGCGUCGGCUGUGAAAUCCCGAGGCUCAACCUCGGGUCUGCAGUCGAUACGAGCAGACUAGAGUGUUGCAGGGGAGACUGGAAUUCCUGGUGUAGCGGUGAAAUGCGCAGAUAUCAGGAGGAACACCGGUGGCGAAGGCGGGUCUCUGGGCAACAACUGACGCUGAGGAGCGAAAGCGUGGGGAGCGAACAGG
rnacentral:rRNA from 1 species